rnacentral:rRNA from 1 species
CCUACGGGAGGCAGCAGUGAGGAAUAUUGGUCAAUGGGCGAAAGUCUGAACCAGCCAAGUAGCGUGAGGGAUGAAGGCCCUAUGGGUUGUAAACUGCUUUUAUAUGGGGAUAAAACAGUGUAUGUAUACCCUUUUGUAUGUACCGUGCGAAUAAGGACCGGCCAACUCCGUGCCAGCAGCCGCGGUAAUACGGUGGAUCCGAGCGUUAUCCGGAAUUAUUGGGUUUAAAGGGAGCGUAGGGGGGUUGUUUAGUCAGUUGUGAAAUUUUGGGGUCCAACCGGCAAAUCGCAGUUGAAACUGGUCGACUUGAGUUCAGUAGAGGUGGGCGGAAUUCGUGGUGUAGCGGUGAAAUGCUUAGAUAUCACGAAGAACCCCGAUUGCGAAGGCAGCUUACUGGACUGCAACUGACGCUGAGGCUCGAAAGUGUGGGUAUCAAACAGGAUUAGAUACCCGUGUAGUC